AUAUCAAUAAGCGGAGGAAAAGAAACUAACAAGGAUUCCCCUAGUAACGGCGAGUGAAGCGGGAUGAGCUCAAAUUUAAAAUCUGGCUGGUUUACUAGUCCGAGUUGUAGUUUAUAGAAGCGUUUUCGGUGGCAGCCUCGGGUAUAAAGUCCUUUGGAAUAGGGCUAUCAUCAGAGGGUGAGAAUCCCGUCUUUGACUGCAGAAUGCAUGCUACUAUGUGAUACGUUUUCAAAGAGUCGAGUUGUUUGGGAAUGCAGCUCAAAAUGGGUGGUAAAUUUCAUCUAAAGGCUAAAUAUUGGCGAGAGACCGAUAGCGAACAAGUACCGUGAGGGAAAGAUGAAAAGAACUUUGAAAAGAGAGUUAAACAGUGC
rnacentral:rRNA from 1 species